GAUGAACGCUAGCGGCAGGCCUAACACAUGCAAGUCGAACGGUAACAGGUGUAGCAAUACAUGCUGACGAGUGGCGCACGGGUGCGUAACACGUAUGCAACUUACCUCUAACUGGGGAAUAGCUUCGAGAAAUCGAAAUUAAUGUCCCAUAAUAAGUUGAUGAGGUAUCUGGUUAAAUUUAAAACUCAGGGGGUUAGAGAUAGGCAUGCGUCCUAUGAGCUUGUUGGUGAGGUAACGGCUCACCAAGGCAACGAUAGGUAGGGGGUCUGAGAGGGUUAUCCCCCACACUGGUACUGAGACACGGACCAGACUCCUACGGGAGGCAGCAGUGAGGAAUAUUGGUCAAUGGUCGCAAGCCUGAUCCAGCCAUGCCGCGUGUGUGAAGAAGGCCUUCGGGUUGUAAAGCACUUUCAGCGAGGAGGAAGAGUUGUGUGUUAAUAGUACACAGCUUUGACGUUACUCGCAGAAGAAGCACCGGCUAACUCUGUGCCAGCCGCCGCCGUAAAAC
rnacentral:rRNA from 1 species